UGACACCUCCCUGAAACCACGAGCGUUUCAGGGGGCUGUUGAGCAAUCGCUUUCGCAGAGCGUGUCAGAAGCCGAUCCAGUAAGCGUCGACUUCGCGGACACGGUUGCCCCAGUCGAAUUCCUUGUCGGUUCCGAAGGACGGCGCUUUCGCCAGUUCCUCUUCGGUCAUCAAGGUCAGAAGUUCGUAGCCUUCGAUUGCGGGGUUGUACUUCAUGCUUGCCCAUGGAAGCGGGCGAUAGUCUUCGCCGACUC
rnacentral:misc_RNA from 1 species